UCAGGGUUAACGCACUCAGAGUUUACACUUAACCUCCUUUCUGAAACAGGCCCCAGGAGGGUAUUAAACUACAGUAGAAUAGUGGUAGAGUGUAAACAAAAAGGAUCAUGGGAAGUGAGGGCAGGCUUACUAGCAGUCCCGCCCACAACUUAGAGGUGAAUUUCUAAUGAACCCCUGCCGCUCUCCAGAAACUAUGUUCUGAAGAAGCGAUUUCUUUUUUUGGUUAGCCUCGCCUUUCUAGUUGAAGUUCUCAUCAUCAGCGUUCAUUUCCUGAUUGCUGCUGUUGGCAGAGGUUACUUCCUUCUUUGGCAGAAAAACGCAAACCAGCAUCAUCAUCAUCAACAUCAUAAUCAUGCAUGCUUUAAGCAGAGCUCUGCUGCAGCAGGAAUCUGUUCCCACCGUCAGGAUCAACAGGAACCAGUGCUGAAGUUUCCACGGCAACAACUUUCCGUUAGGAAGCCAGAGUUAAUUUAAAACGACGACUGAAGAACAAAGCUCUGAAAAAGCAUUUCUGGUGUUUGUGAAACAAGUUUUCUUCACUGAAGUGAAGCUAAUUCAGGAGACAAAUUCUGAAAGAUCCUUAAAAAAGUCAGAUUAGUGGAGAGAAGAUAAAAUCCUUCAGAUGUAUAAACUGAUUCAAAGAUUCAGAUCUCACAUUUAGUGUUAAUUGGUGAAUAUUUGAUCUGAAUCAAGUGUUUGACAGACAGCCCGCCCUCCUGUGGUCCUUUCAGGCCUAAUGAUCCAUGAACGUCUGUUUUCCUCGUCUGAGCUGGAAUCUAAUCAUAAACUGUACAGCUGGAUAGCUCUGAUAUUGCUCACCAUUUUUGUUUUACUGGUAAUGCUAUGUUGGGGUUGUGGGGGGAUCGUGGGCUAGCAGGAGAGAAUGUAAACAGAACUCAAAGUACGACACAAGUCCAAGUCACCAUCUCUGGUGACGCAGGAACCCAAACCUUCGAGUUUCUACUCCGAAGCAGGAGGAAGAAGACUGCUCCAGGGGAGAACCCCAUGUUACGCCUGAUCGUCUUCCUUACAGCAGUCCUGCCUCCAUCCGUCUGUCCGUGUAUGAAUGGAUGAGAAUGAGACCAGAGCACUUUGGUCUUUGAAGGAAGAAAUUCGGCUGCAUUCUCUAUUUAAUCCAAACCAAACUUUAUUCAAGCCAUAAGUAAACAAACUGGUUCGUCUUUGAUCAGAACCAUUUGUGUUGCAUCAACUUGACCUGCUUUUGGUUCCAAAAACAGAGUUAUGUUUCAGGGUAUGUCAAGUUGCCAUGGCAACUCAUGCUUUGAACAUAACCUGGUCUGGAGCAGGUUUAGUUAAAGGUUAGUUUGUUUUCAGAGAGGUGAAGCAGCAUGGCGUGUCCAUUUGAAGAUGAUUUAGUGCAUGUGGCAAACUCAAGGUCCAGGGGCCAAAUGUGGCCCGCCAUGUCAUUUUGUGUGGCCCGCGAGAGCAUAAAAGUUUUUAAUUUCUUAAAAUAAAAUUUCUCUUUUGAUUACA